rnacentral:rRNA from 1 species
GCAAGUCGAACGAUAGAACCACUUCGGUGGGGAAGAGUGGCGAACGGGUGAGUAACACGUGGGCAAUCUGCCCUGCACUCUGGGAUAACUCCGGGAAACCGGAGCUAAUACCGGAUACGACUCUCCAGGGCAUCCUGGGGGGUGGAAAGCUCCGGCGGUGCAGGAUGAGCCCGCGGCCUAUCAGCUGGUUGGUGGGGUAAUGGCCCACCAAGGCGACGACGGGUAGCCGGCCUGAGAGGGCGACCGGCCACACUGGGACUGAGACACGGCCCAGACUCCUACGGGAGGCAGCAGUGGGGAAUAUUGCACAAUGGGCGCAAGCCUGAUGCAGCGACGCCGCGUGAGGGAUGACGGCCUUCGGGUUGUAAACCUCUUUCAGCAGGGAAGAAGCGCAAGUGACGGUACCUGCAGAAGAAGCACCGGCUAACUACGUGCCAGCAGCCGCGGUAAUACGUAGGGUGCGAGCGUUGUCCGGAAUUAUUGGGCGUAAAGAGCUCGUAGGCGGCCUGUCGCGUCGGAUGUGAAAGCCCGGGGCUUAACCCCGGGUCUGCAUUCGAUACGGGCAGGCUAGAGUUCG